AAGUCGUAACAAGGUCUCCGUUGGUGAACCAGCGGAGGGAUCAUUAGCGAGUUCUAAACUCCCAACCCUUGCGGACAUACCUAUUGUUGCUUCGGCGGGGCGCCCUGUUACAGGGCGCUGCCCCUGAGUACCCUCUCGGGGGCGCCCGCCGACGGCACGUAAACCAAACUCUUGUUUUUUCAAGUAUUCUGAGUAGACUACAAAAUAAGUCAAAACUUUCAGCAACGGAUCUCUUGGUUCUG
rnacentral:misc_RNA from 1 species